UACGGAGGGGGCUAGCGUUGUUCGGAAUUACUGGGCGUAAAGCGUGCGCAGGCGGUUUUGUAAGACAGAUGUGAAAUCCCCGGGCUCAACCUGGGAAUGGCAUUUGGGACUGCAAGGCUGGAGUGCGGCAGAGGAGACUGGAAUUCCUGGUGUAGCAGUGAAAUGCGUAGAUAUCAGGAGGAAUACCGAUGGCGAAGGCAGGUCUCUGGGCCGACACUGACGCUCAUGCACGAAAGCGUGGGGAGCAAACAGG
rnacentral:rRNA from 1 species